GACAGAGGGUGCAAACGUUGUUCGGAAUUACUGGGCGUAAAGCGUGUGUAGGCGGCCGCGUAAGUCGGAUGUGAAAGCCCUGGGCUCAACCCAGGAAGUGCACUCGAUACUGCGUGGCUCGAGUACUGGAGAGGUUGGUGGAAUUCUCGGUGUAGCAGUGAAAUGCGUAGAGAUCGGGAGGAACAUCUGUGGCGAAGGCGGCCAUCUGGACCAGCACUGACACUGAGGCACGAAAGCGUGGGGAGCAAACAGG
rnacentral:rRNA from 1 species